UGCGUAGGCGGCUCGUUAAGUCAGGGGUGAAAGGCUGUAGCUCAACUACAGAAUUGCCUUUGAUACUGACAGGCUUGAAAUAAAUUGAGGUUGGCGGAAUGUGACAUGUAGCGGUGAAAUGCAUAGAUAUGUCAUAGAACACCAAUUGCGAAGGCAGCUGACUAGAUUUUAUUUGACGCUGAGGCACGAAAGCGUGGGGAGCGAACAGGAUUAGAUACCCUGGUAGUCC
rnacentral:rRNA from 1 species